rnacentral:rRNA from 1 species
GAUGAACGCUAGCUACAGGCUUAACACAUGCGAGUCGAGGGGCAGCGGGAUUGAAGCUUGCUUCAAUUGCCGGCGACCGGCGCACGGGUGAGUAACGCGUAUCCAACCUUCCGUACACUCAGGGAUAGCCUUUCGAAAGAAAGAUUAAUACCUGAUGGUAUGAUGAGAUUGCAUGAUAUCAUCAUUAAAGAUUUAUCGGUGUACGAUGGGGAUGCGUUCCAUUAGGUAGUAGGCGGGGUAACGGCCCACCUAGCCAACGAUGGAUAGGGGUUCUGAGAGGAAGGUCCCCCACAUUGGAACUGAGACACGGUCCAAACUCCUACGGGAGGCAGCAGUGAGGAAUAUUGGUCAAUGGACGAGAGUCUGAACCAGCCAAGUAGCGUGAAGGAUGAAGGUCCUACGGAUUGUAAACUUCUUUUAUAAGGGAAUAAACCCUCCCACGUGUGGGAGCUUGUAUGUACCUUAUGAAUAAGCAUCGGCUAACUCCGUG